UACUUCUUCGGACAAUAUACAAGGUGCUGCAUGGUUGUCGUCAGCUCGUGCCGUGAGGUGUCGGGUUAAGUCCCAUAACGAGCGCAACCCCUAUCAUUAGUUGCCAUCAGGUCAAGCUGGGGACUCUAAUGAAACUGCCUACGCAAGUAGUGAGGAAGGUGGGGAUGGACGUCAAAUCAGCACGGCCCUUACGUCCAGGGCUACACACGUGCUACAAUGGCCGAUACAGAGGGCAGCUACCUGGUGACAGGAUGCAAAUCUCCAAAGUCGGUCUCAGUUCGGAUCGGAGUCUGCAACCCGACUCCGUGAAGUUGGAUUCGCUAGUAAUCGCGCAUCAGCCAUGGCGCGGUGAAUACGUUCCCGGGCCUU
rnacentral:rRNA from 1 species